rnacentral:tRNA from 1 species
UAGAGUUAAGCAUAUAUUUACUGAUGCAAGAAUUUGUUAAUUUCUAGAAUUAUACUCUAG